rnacentral:rRNA from 1 species
GUUGAACGCUGGCGGCGUGCUUAACACAUGCAAGUCGAACGAUGAAGCCCAGCUUGCUGGGUGGAUUAGUGGCGAACGGGUGAGUAACACGUGAGUAACCUGCCCUUAACUCUGGGAUAAGCCUGGGAAACUGGGUCUAAUACCGGAUAGGAGCGCCUACCGCAUGGUGGGUGUUGGAAAGAUUUAUCGGUUUUGGAUGGACUCGCGGCCUAUCAGCUUGUUGGUGAGGUAAUGGCUCACCAAGGCGACGACGGGUAGCCGGCCUGAGAGGGUGACCGGCCACACUGGGACUGAGACACGGCCCAGACUCCUACGGGAGGCAGCAGUGGGGAAUAUUGCACAAUGGGCGAAAGCCUGAUGCAGCGACGCCGCGUGAGGGAUGACGGCCUUCGGGUUGUAAACCUCUUUCAGUAGGGAAGAAGCGAAAGUGACGGUACCUGCAGAAGAAGCACCGGCUAACUACGU